rnacentral:rRNA from 1 species
UGACCCACAAAACGGGAU